rnacentral:rRNA from 1 species
AUUGAACGCUGGCGGCAGGCCUAACACAUGCAAGUCGAGCGGAGCGGCGGAAGGGGGAGUAAUGCCUAGGAAUCUGCCUGGUAGUGGGGGAUCAAGUACGGAAAGGGGCGCUAAUAACGCAUAAUAUCAGAUGAGCCUAGGGCGGAGUAGCUAGUUGGUGGGGUAAAGGCCUACCAAGGCGACGAUCCGUAACUGGUCUGCGAGGAUGAUAAGUCACACUGGAACUGAGACACGGUCCAGACUCCUACGGGAGGCAGCAGUGGGGAAUAUUGGACAAUGGGCGAAAGCCUGAUCCAGCCAUGCCGCGUGUGUGAAGAAGGUCUUCGGAUUGUAAAGCACUUUAAGUUGGGAGGCGUUACCAACAGAAUAAGCAACGGCUAACUUCGUGCCAGCAGCCGCGGUAAUAC